rnacentral:rRNA from 1 species
GCCUGCCCUGUGACUAUAUGUUUAACGGCCGCGGUAUUUUGACCGUGCGAAGGUAGCGCAAUCACUUGUCUCUUAAAUGGAGACCUGUAUGAAAGGCAUCACGAGGGCUUAGCUGUCUCCCCUUUAAAGUCAAUGAAAUUGAUCUCCCCGUGCAGAAGCGGGGAUACGCUCGUAAGACGAGAAGACCCUAUGGAGCUUAAGAUAUAAAGCGACCCAUGUCAAACACCCCUUCAAAGGAGAUGAACAUAAUGAGCCUCGCCGAAAUAUCUUCGGUUGGGGCGACCGCGGGGAAAGACAAAACCCCCACAUGGACUGGGGCAACAUUUGGCCCUAAAACCUAGACCCACACGUCGAAUCAACAGUAUUUCUGACCACCAAAGAGCCGGCAAUGCGAAUCAACGGACCGAGUUACCCUAGGGAUAACAGCGCAAUCCCCUCCCAGAGCCCUUAUCGACAAGGGGGUUUACGACCUCGAUGUUGGAUCAGGACAUCCUAAUGGUGCAGCCGCUAUUAAGG